GUCCUUAUUGCCAGUGUGAAGUAGAUGAGGAUGAGCUAAUCGACCACUGUCUCAAUUACCACAGAUGGGAAGGGAAAGCAGUGGUAAUGGCAUAGAAACUGUUGGUUAAGGUCUUGUUGAAAGAGUUCUAGGUGGGUCAUUCUUAGAAUGUGUGCAUGUGAAUCAUCCAAACAGCACGUAAGGACUAUUGCAGAAGAGUGGAAGAACAUGUUCUGUAGAUAAAUAUGGUUAUUAAAAUUUAA